rnacentral:rRNA from 1 species
UACGUAGGGUGCAAGCGUUGUCCGGAAUUAUUGGGCGUAAAGAGCUCGUAGGCGGUUUGUCGCGUCUGCUGUGAAAACCCGAGGCUCAACCUCGGGCCUGCAGUGGGUACGGGCAGACUAGAGUGCGGUAGGGGAGAUUGGAAUUCCUGGUGUAGCGGUGGAAUGCGCAGAUAGUCAGGAGGAACACCAAUGGCGAAGGCAGAUCUCCUGGGCCGUAACUGACGCUGAGGAGCGAAAGCAUGGGGAGCGAACAGG